AUUGAACGCUGGCGGCAGGCCUAACACAUGCAAGUCGAACGAGUGGCGGACGGGUGAGUAAUGUCUGGGAAACUGCCUGAUGGAGGGGGAUAACUACUGGAAACGGGAGCUAAUACCGCAUACUAUAGUAUCUGCCCAGAUGGGAUUAGCUAGUUGGUGGGGGAAAGGCUCACCUAGGCGACGAUCCCUAGCUGGUCUGAGAGGAUGACCAGCCAAACUGGAACUGAGACCCGGUCCGAACUCCUCCGGGAGGCAGCGUUGGGGAAUAUUGGAAAAGGGGCGCAAGCCUGCUGCAGACAUGCCGGGUGUAGGAAGAAGGCCUUCGGGUGUUAAAGUCCUUUCAGCGGGGAGGCGUUACCCGCAGAGGAAGCAACGGCUAACUCCGUGCCAGCAGCCGCGGUAAUUC
rnacentral:rRNA from 1 species